AUUCUUUAUCUCUAAGUCAUUUAGAAAGAUUCCUUAUCUGGAAUAUCUCAUUUGAUUCUCCAUCUGCAAGGUUUUAUUGUGCGUCUUGAUGAAUGUUGUUUUUCAUUUGUGCACUGUGUGGUAUUUUGAACAAAUUACCCUGGAGAAGUAUGAUAUUCGUAAGGUCAGUUGAUUGAUUCUGGCAAAACAUCCAACCUGGUGAUUUUAAAGGCUUCAACUUUGUCAUGUCUUGAGACCUUCAUCUUUGGCUUUUUUUUUAUCGCUUGAGUCUGAUUUUACUGUCUAGUUGCAUUUCAGGGAUUUGUCUGUCAAUAAACUUCUAAAAUUUCAGAACCUUAGAAGGAAAGAGAUGCAUUCGAUUUCCUUAAGAAACUUUGGUACCAGUUGGCAAAUCCAGAACUGGGCUAGUCGAGGCUAAAUUAUGGACCUUUAAAUUACAAUCACAAAUUCAAUUGAGGUGUCUCCGUCUUUCAAAAGUUGUCCUAAUUCUUGGCAGAGCACUCAAGUCUGUGUAGCUGCUGUAAACAUGGACAAAUAUCAAUAUGCAGGCUUUAGGUGGGUGAGCCAUUAGUACAUUUUUGCCCAUAAAGAACCUGCGUUACAUUACAUUACAUUAAAGGUUUCAAUAAGUUCAUUAAACAAAUUUACAAAUGAAAGAUUGUAAAUUUAGUGAAGAAUGCAUUUGUUUCGAUCUUGGUUUAAAGUUUUUAUGACAUAGGAUUGCAUGCAGUGCUGAUAUUUUCCUUUGGAGCAAAUUGAGUUCUUUUUGGCUUUCUACAAUAAAUAGACUAUGUUUCUAGCAUUACUGUUUUAUUUUUCAAAGAGUUGUAUAUUGCCUUUGGGUCCAUGAUUUGAUUCCUUUUUUUAUGUGUUCUUACUAAUAUAAAUUUUCUAUUUCUGUUUGUAAUUUUCUGGGGGGUUUGUGGUUUGAAGUUCAUGAGCAUGUUUUGUAUAAACAUGAACAGCUGUUGCAAUGUAUGGAGGUUGUUCUUGUCUUUUUUAAAUGAUGAUCCUGAGGAAUCAUGUUUGUAAACAUAUUAUCUUGUCAAGGUUAUAAAUAGUUAUUUCAAAUUCCCAAUAGAUUUGGUUAAUUUUGCUUUUUAAUUUGAUGUGCCCGUUUUUAGAACAUUGCUUUGUUAUCUGAUAUAUCUUUUAUGGAAGGUAUCUUGAUUCUUACACAUUGCUUCCUUUGGAGUGAAGGAGCUGUCAUUCUAAUAAUCGUCAAAUACUAAUACAGAUUAUUGUAGUUCUUCUAUAAGAAUGAUUAUGGUUGGAAAAAUUUCUGAGACUGUCAUGUUUAGACUUUUGUCAACUCCUAAUUCAGUUUCGUUUUGUUACUUCAUUGGUAGUUGGUUAGAUAGUAAUGGUUGGGUUAUUCGCUCGAAGUUGCUUGUUCACUUCUUGGUAUCAUUUCACCCUUUGGGUUGUUUCUUGUAUUGUGGUUGGUUGCAGCAGUUGAUUCACUCCUUCCUCUGAAUUUCUCGAUUAGUGGUAUGGAAGGGGACAUUUGAUCAUGGGGAAAGAUGUUGAUACUCUGUUAUGCAAGUUAUGGAAAAUACUAUUAUAUGAUGCUUAACCCAAAAUCGAUCGGGUUUUGGGUGUCUCCUUCCUUCAAAAGGCGACAUGUGCACUAAUGAAGCCGAUCUUGCUGCCUGAAAAAUGUCCCGCCCACAUCAUGCAAGCUGUGUCGUUGAAGCAAGUACAGUUAUAUGUUUGUGGUGAAUUUGGUUCAUUGCGUUGUUUGUUAUCCCAUGUUUGUAUGUGGUGGAGGAGCUUUUGGGGCCAUAUGUUGGUGUUCACUCACUUUGGAAAUUCGUAGGGUCGUAGUUUAUCUCAUUUGUAUCUAUGGAAAAGUCCAAUUGAUAUAGUUUUUAAAUCUUAGGGAGAUUAACAAUUCAAAGAUAAGUUGAAUUUAUUAUGGUGUACUUACUACCAGAGGUUUUAUUAUUAAAAUAUGCUUAAUUUGGUGUUGAGUUAGGAACACCAUAAGCCUGAGGAGGCUGAAACACCUUUGAUGAAGGCAGCCGGCAAAGGUCCUAAUUUGUAAACGGUCAAACCGGCCGGAAUACAAACUUAUGUUUAUUAAGCAGAAAACGAAAACACAUUUUUAUUUUUAUUGAUAAA